rnacentral:RNase_P_RNA from 2 species
UGAGUCAGCCAGGCAGUCGCCGCAGCCAUCAGGUUGGGGAGGAAAGUCCGGGCUCCAUAGGGUAAGACGCCAGGUAACGCCUGGGGGGCGCAAGCCUACGGAAAGUGCAGCAGAGAGUAGACCGCCUAAGCAGAUUUUUCUGCCGGUAAGGGUGAAAGGGUGCGGUAAGAGCGCACCGCAUGCGUGGUAACACGUCAUGGCAUGGUAAACCCCGUCUGGAGCAAGACCAAAUAGGAAUCCUAUAGGUGUGUACCCGCACUGGAUUCGGGUAGGUUGCUUGAGGUGUGCAGUGAUGUACACCCUAGAUGAAUGACUGUCCAAGACAGAACCCGGCUUAUCGGCUGACUCACAUU